GAGAGAGGGAGCUUUUCCCAGCUUUCGUCAGUUUUAAACCGUGUGAUUUCUUUAUGCUUUCAUUUUAAGCUUAUAGAUCUAUAAAAACGUAAUACUUUAUACAUUGAAAUUGUAGUUUUGUUGCGACCAUUGCGAAAUAUAGUAGUUACCAACGUCUUUAAGUUGACUAAUAAUAGCUACCAACACACCAAGCAAAUGCUAACAGCAUUUAAGCCAAUAAUAAAUGAAAUUUAGCCAAUAUAGGACAUAUGUGUGUUAUUUUUCCGAAGUUUGCACGGUUUAAUUGAGUUUUAUUUCUGCAAAUCAGUACAAAGCUGCUGCAACUGGAUGCUCGCGUAACAGCGGAGCGUAUUUAAACCAAAGUGAAAGGACGAUAUGGUCGUGACUUCAUAGAGAAAUCUGUUGAGUUUACGGGUUGCCUGCUUACUGGAUGAAAUAAUGAGAUACCGAUCAAACAAUGGGAAUUGUUUUGUCAUUUAACCAACAUAACAGACUCUAGGUAAAGAUAUGACCACGAAACCAUUAUUAAUGUAUGCAGACAUGUUUUAUUCGAUAAUUUAGAGAACUGUUCACGAAUAGUUCAACUCAAAUCGACCGACAGGGUACAGCAGAGUUACAAUCUGAGCUUUAAAGCUCUAUAAGCAGCCGUGUACCUUUAAGGGGCUCGUCAACAGAUCCUUGAUUAAGAGGGACUCCGUUUGUUAAAGAGCGCUUGGCGCCAGUCGGCUGGAGUCCCACAAUAAGAACCUACUCCUGUCAAGUCAUAUUUAGCCCCAAAUUCUCAAACAGUGUGCACCCAUGCACUCAAUGCAUUCAAAAGCAUACAAGUUGAGAAGAAUAUUAGAAAAUGAUUUUACUUGAGACAGACUAUUUCCGCAUUUAACAAUUAAUGCAAUUCAGUUAAUGUAUGAUGAUUAAACGGUUACCUCGUGGUUUUGAAUAUAUGUCUAUUAAAAUAUGCACUUAGCAAUAAAAAAAUAGAAAUAAACAACAGACCAUUGAUCUUUGUUUUUGUUUAAUAAUCAAACAACAGUGCAAUGUGAAGAGGAACUGGAUUUUAUGUAUCUCUAUCAAUCAGCUCUUUUCAUAUUGAGAUGAGAUAUCAUGAAUGUUCUCCUCGGAAAUGCCUUCUUACACAAGAGCACAAAACAGGACUGUCCUGGGAGGGAGACAUAGGUUGCUGCUGACUUAAUACCGUCAGAGAUGAAGCGGGCUUGAAGUUAUGACAGUUCAAGCAACUCGAGGUCUAUUUGAAUUCAUGCUUUCCAGAGGUGAAUCUCCAGGAUUUUCAGUCGAGGGUUUAUGGAAAGAUAUCUCACAACAGAAGGGAAGACAUCAAAUUAUUGUGUUGGAUAAUCCCGUAUUGGUAUAAACAACCCACGUCUUUCUUUGCUCAACACCAGCAAAUAACUCUUCUCCUUCCGGACUCCUCUUAAUAAACUGUACAGUGACUGUUUAAAGACACAGCGAGGAAAACAGACAAAGGAAAUCUAAGAUAAGCCCACAAAAAAGGAUGCUAGAUGUGUUCUGGCCCGAUACACCCAGCCAUAUACCCUCAACCCCUGAAUGACCAGCUUCAUCUCGUGCAACAUCAGAGAAGCGAGCAGACAGGAAGGGAACCAUCAAUCUCGGACGCUUUCACCUCUCCGGUCACAGUCCACACCUGGGACGCAUUCGACAAUAUGUUAGGUCACCCUUGGCUCUGAUGGAGUCAUUGCAAGGUCAAAACUGUAAAGUAGAAAUCCCAUUCAAACACUUAGUGAGCUCUAAAAUAAACUUUAUUUCUCACAUAAAGGCAGCUCGGAUUGCACAAAGGAUUGGUCUGACAUGAUGAGCAGUUAACUUGUAAAGUGAUUGCAGGAUAAAUGUUACACAUGCAGGCUGAGGAGGCCUUUACGAUUGGCCAGAGAUGAGAAAAAUGGGAUCAAGUACAGUUUACAACAUCAGUUCUGUCAAGACAAGACAAUGUUUCAACAAAGUAAGACACGUUUAAAAUCACCAUCGCAUACUGCAUGAAUGAACCAAAUUUAUACUGAAAAAUAAAGGUCUCGAAUCUGCACUGUAAUAAAUAUGUGUUUUAUUUC